GACGAACGCUGGCGGCGUGCUUAACACAUGCAAGUCGAACGGAAAGGCCCUGCUUUUGUUGGGUUCUCGAGUGGCGAACGGGUGAGUAACACGUGAGUAACCUGCCCUUGACUUUGGGAUAACUUCAGGAAACUGGGGCUAAUACCGGAUAUGAGCUCCUGCUGCAUGGUGUGGGUUGGAAAGUUUCGGCGGUUGGGGAUGGACUCGCGGCUUAUCAGCUUGUUGGUGGGGUAGUGGCUUACCAAGGCUUUGACGGGUAGCCGGCAUGAGAGGGUUACCGGCCACAUUGGGACUGAGAUACGGCCCAGAAUCCUACGGGAGGCAGCAGUGGGGAAUAUUGCACAAUGGGCGGAAGCCUGAUGCAGCAACGCCGCGUGCGGGAUGACGGCCUUCGGGUUGUAAACCGCUUUCGACUGUGACGAAGCGUGAGUGACGGUAAUGGGUAAAGAAGCAACGGCUAACUACGUG
rnacentral:rRNA from 1 species